GACGAACGCUGGCGGCGUGCUUAACACAUGCAAGUCGAACGGGCCCGCUCUCUUUUUUGGGGGUGGGUUGCGUGGCGAACGGGUGAGUAUCACGUGAGUAACCUGCCCCCUGCUCCUGGAUAACUGCUUGAAAGGGCGGCUAAUACGGGGUGUGCCGGCUGUUCCGCAUGGGCCUGGUCGGGAUAGUUUCAUCUUCGGGUGUUUCGGUGGGUGAUGGGCUCGCGGCCUAUCAGCUUGUUGGUGGGGUGAUGGCCCACCAAGGCGGUGACGGGUCGCCGGCAUGAGAGGGUGGGCGGCCACACUGGGACUGGGACACGGCGCAGACGCCGGCGGGAGGCAGCAGUGGGGGGUAUUGCACAAGGGGCGGAAGCCUGAUGCAGCGACGUCGCGUGAGGGAUGGAGGCCUUCGGGUUGUGAACCUCUUUCUCCGGUGGUGAAGGCCCUGUCCGUUGCGGCGGGGUUGACGGUAGCCGGGGAUGAAGCGCCGGCUAACUACGUG
rnacentral:rRNA from 1 species